rnacentral:rRNA from 1 species
UACGUAGGGUGCAAGCGUUGUCCGGAAUUAUUGGGCGUAAAGAGCUCGUAGGCGGUUUGUCGCGUCUGCUGUGAAAACGCGAGGCUUAACCUCGGGUCUGCAGUCGAUACGGGCUAGCUAGAGUGUGGUAGGGGAGAUCGGAAUUCCUGGUGUAGCGGUGAAAUGCGCAGAUAUCAGGAGGAACACCGGUGGCGAAGGCGGGUCUCUGGGCCGUAACUGACGCUGAGGAGCGAAAGCCAGGGGAGCAAACGGG